AAUUUUUUUUUAAUCGAAUUAUGUUAUCAUUUAAUCAAUUAUACUCAAUUAUUGUUGGAAAUACGUCCAAAAAUAAAUACAUUUAUGUAUACUACUCAAUAGAACAAUAAUAAUUUUAUUCUAGUUUUCGGUUUGACAAUAUUUUAAAAAAACGGCUAAUUAUUCUCCUGUUUACAUUUUGUUAUCCGUGUCUAAACUUCAAUUUGAAACUAUACGCCACCACACUUUGUUGUUCUACGUAACUAACGUAAUAAUUUUACUAUGUAGCCCGUCGCAGUUAUAUAGACUGUAGACAGUAAAUGCGGGUGUGGCGUCCUUUAUAUAAUUAUUCGAAUAUAAACUUUACAACAAUACGCAUUUUGCGUUCAGAUUUACCGUCGCCAUAAUAUUAUUUGUAUAUGAACAGCGGCGUUUGAUUGAUAAAGUCAACGAUUAUUUUCCAUUGUAGCGUGUUUUUUAAAACAAAUAUUUUUUUAUCAUUCGUAUCGAUCUUAUGCGUUUUGAUAAAUUGUCCGGAAUUACCCGCGUUAUUACUUAUAUUCACGAUUGCAUUCUAAACGUACGCGUAUUAGUAUAGUAUGUGCGAUUGACAGUGCAGUCUCUAAACUACAAUAUCAUUAAUAUCGCGUUGGAGAAAUUAUUAUUAUAGUUUUUUUUUUUUUUGUAGACAAGUCUUUUAUAAUAAAUGAUUCGUGCGCUAUUUGUAUUAUUGAAACGCGCGUAAGCAAUAUUCGAAUUGGUUUGUGUUCUCGAAUAAUAAAAUAUCGUUACACCGAUAAAUAGGUAGGUUCUUUUAUUUAUUUUUCCCGUUUUUUCAAAAACAUAAUGCACACCUAUUUGAAAAACAAUAUGUUGGUUUAAUGUAGCUCGACCUUUUAUUUAAUGCGAUUAUAUUUGAAACUCUGUUUGAUCAGCAUUUUUUUCUAACAUUACAAUAUUAUGCUUUUGCGAUCGGUUUAAUUGAUUACAAUUUUUUUUUUGUUAUUCUAUACAAUUACGGUAAACACAAACGCUGUUUAAUUUCAAUGUUAACUAGUCCAUGUGACAAAAUGCUAAUCACAUGUAUAAUUAUUUAUCCGAUGAACCAUUCGCAACACUAUCCGAUAUCUAUACGUAUUGGAUUAACAUUAGAUAAUAAUGUAUCAACUGCAGGUACCUAUUUUUACAGAAUGUAAUACAUUAUUAUUAUGGUGUUUGGCAAAUAGUAUGUACAUUAUGUCCCUAUAUAGUCUACUAAGAUAACCUAUACAAUAUUAUACCUUGCAAAUUAAAAUUAAAAAUAUAGAUUAAGUUGUCGUAAAACCGUGUGUUGUUUUUUUAAUACUAUCUGCGCAAAGUGCUGUAGGGAAAAAAACAUACCAAUAAAAAUUGAAAGUGCACAAUAAAAUCCUAUAAGAAACCCUCACUAGCAACAGUGGACAAUGCCAUAAAAAGUGUAUUUAAAUCGUAUUGGCUGACAGAAACGAAAUUAAUCGAAUGAAUUGUUUUUUUAUUAAUAAUGUACAUAUGAAAACGGAAUACAUCAACGCACAUAACAAGUUACACAUAACACGCGUCCUACGAUGUUCAGACCGAUCAAAUAGAUAAUUCGUACAACAAUUAAAUAUUCUACACGGUUUUUUUCUAUAUACAUAUAUAAGCGUGUGGGCUAUCCUGCAACACCAUGCCUAACGCUGACGGUGCAUAAAUUAUUUAAAUGUGGGAGAAGUCGAAAAACUAUUAAAUGCGAAUUAUUACCAUUAUUACUAUUGAUUGUAAAAUCGACUUGUUCGCGACGGUAAUUAAAAAUUUUACCUGAAUAGCCGUUUAUUCGUGGGAGUCACAGAGGCGAUAUUCGUGUUCAUCAGAUUUUUCUCGUCCGAUUACCAAACGUUUGAACCUCGGAAAAAAACACCCGUACGCCAAAUACGCCGUCACUAGGGUAGAAUUUCCCUGCCUAUUUUUUAUUGUAAAAAUACAUUAUCUUCUAUGUAUAUUAAAAAACAUGUCCCUGACUGAUUGAUCAUCACCUAGGCUAAACUACUGGACGGAUCUGGUUGAAAUCUGGCAUACAGAUAGCCAUUAUAACGUCGGCAUCCACUAAGAGAGGAUUUUUGAAAAUUCAACCCCUAAGUGGGUAAAAUAGGAGUUUUUAGGUAUUAUUGGUACGAAUAUCUAAUUGUUUAUUUAUUUAUUUUUGUUUAUUCGUGGUAACCCACGUUACAUGGUUGACAGUUUGGUUGUCACGUACAAGAAAAAUAUUAUUAUUGUUAUUAUUAUUACUAUUAUCACUACACUAUUAUCCAGGAAUAGAGCAAAGCAUUGCCGGAGCAGCUAGUUCUUUAUAAAUCAAUAGUGAAUAAAUAACCGAAUACUAUAGUAUAGAGUCUAUACUUUAUUUAUACUACUGUAAAAGAAAACGAAAUUGAUAAAAUAUAUACGCUUCAAUGUUAGGGGUGGGGGUUUGUAUAUGUUUAAACUCCCAAAAAUCCAUACCGUUGAUACUGACGCCUGUGCAUACACAAAAUGUCUCCCC